UACGUAGGUGGCAAGCGUUACUCGGAAUCACUAGGCGUAAAGCGCAGGUAGGCGGUUCGGUAAGUCUCUUGUGAAAGCUCCCGGCUCAACUGGGAGAGGUCAAGGGAAACUACCGGGCUAGAGUGUGGCAGAGGAAGCUGGAAUUCCCGGUGUAGCGGUGAAAUGCGCAGAUAUCAGGAGGAACACCGGUGGCGAAGGCGGCUCUCUGGGCCAUUACUGACGCUGAGGAGCGAAAGCGUGGGGAGCGAACAGG
rnacentral:rRNA from 1 species